rnacentral:rRNA from 1 species
GGACUACCGGGGUAUCUAAUCCUGUUUGAUCCCCACGCUUUCGUGCCUCAGUGUCAAUAUUCGUGUAGCCAGCUGCCUUCGCAAUUGGUGUUCUAUGUCAUAUCUAAGCAUUUCACCGCUACAUGACAUAUUCCGCUAACCUCCACGGUAUUCAAGACUGAUAGUAUCAAUGGCAGUUUCCAAGUUAAGCUCGGAGAUUUCACCACUGACUUACCAACCCACCUACGCACCCUUUAAACCCAGUGAAUCCGGAUAACGCUUGCACCCUCCGUAUUACCGCGGCUGCUGGCAC